rnacentral:rRNA from 1 species
AACGAACGCUGGCGGCAGGCUUAACACAUGCAAGUCGAACGCCCCGCAAGGGGAGUGGCAGACGGGCGAGUAACGCGUGGGAACGUGCCCUUCGCUUCGGAAUAGCCUCGGGAAACUGGGAGUAAUACCGAAUACGCCGUAUUGGGAAAGAUUUAUCGGCGAAGGAUCGGCCCGCGUUAGAUUAGGUAGUUGGCGGUGUAAUGGAACACCAAGCCUACGAUCUAUAGCUGGUCUGAGAGGAUGAUCAGCCACACUGGGACUGAGACACGGCCCAGACUCCUACGGGAGGCAGCAGUGGGGAAUCUUGGACAAUGGGCGCAAGCCUGAUCCAGCCAUGCCGCGUGAGUGAAGAAAGCCUUAGGGUUGUAAAACUCUUUCGCCGGAGAAGAUAAUGACGGUAUCCGGAGAAGAAGCCCCGGCUAACUUCGUGCCAGCCGCCGCUGUAACAC